UUCUAUUGCCCAACUCUGUUUAUUUCCCAUUGGGCAUCCGAGCUUAAAAGCCCCUACAUUGAUUGUUUUGUUUGGGGCCUUUGUAAUCUUUUGAACAUUUUUCUCUCUCUCGUAUUUAAUAAUCCAUCAAUUUAAGUUACGAAAAAUGAAGUAAUUUCGGUGCGACUGCUGAUUUGUUUGGCAUUUACGGCGUGGACGAAAUCGGAGGCGACCCCUCGCGACUCGUGCCCAAUGUUGUUAACAAGUCUGAUUAAUGUCCCCGAUUAGCAUAAGUAAACAUUAAGCAAAUUAUGUAUGUAUGGUACUCCAUACAUACAUAUGUACAUAUGUACAUACGUACAUUCAUUUGUACAUCGGGUUCGGCAGCGGGUUCGUUUCGUGAUUCAAUAUUAGAUUUCUUGAUUGGCCGUCUAUUAUUUUACUUGUGCCUUGAUUUUUUGCGCUAAUCAGUAAACAACCGAGCUGGCCCAAAAGUCAAAUAAGUGCUGGAAAAACUCCAACACCAAUAACGGCUGUAAACAACCUUUAGCGUUAAUUAAAAGUGUACACAGAAAUUUGCAUUCACGACAAAAUUGGUUAACGAAACAUUUAUGCUACAGUGGAGCAUCAAUAAAAAUAUUUAAGUUAACUUGUAUAUCCAUUUGCCCAACAGAAAUUGAAAGAUCAUUCAGAACCUAGCGUGAGUUCCACUGCAGACAACAGUUAACGUAGUGACGAAGCACACCACGCAAUAUAUCUGCAUAGUUUUAUAAACACAUAUUAAUUAUUAUUUUAAUUGCAUCAGUUUUGAUGCCAGUUUUAGAUAGCCAGUGUGCCCUGUACCCGUAGCAUACACAUAAAAAAUGAGCUAGGCUGGCCAGUUCGCCUUUUUGAUUGAGUUUGUCGGCGGAUUUAUGCGCUGACCACUGCUGGCGGCGAUUUGGCGGUUUUGGUUUUGGAUUUCGGUUUUUGAAUUUGGCGUGUUGAAGCUGAGCGCCGUCCCAACUGUCAGCCGUGAUAAAUGCCCCUGGAUAUAGAUAGGAAUUCAGUAUUGGCCGGCAUAAAUAAUUCGGAUGUAAUUGGAAAAGCCGCUGUGAUUAUUUUGACAUUCGUGCCGGCUUGCAGCGAAAUUUCUCCCCUUUUUUAUAGCGCACAUGAUUAUGGGUUCCGCCAGAUAAACUCAUUAAUAAAUCCAGACUCUGAUUCGAGCACAUUAAGCUGUCCAUUAGCGUAAUACAUCAGCCGUCGACGGUCUGUAAUUUCGAUCUGAAAUUAAUGUAGGACAGAAAGUUCCAGCGUGGUCUCGACUCGUUUCAUAUUCCCCAGCGAUAGCUGACACCUCUUAUCCAACUCCCAGUUGGCGGACCACAAAACCGGCAGUCAUACAUACGUGUCCGACAUCCAGGCAUUAACCGUGUAAGCUUUAGUUACCGAUCCACAUCCCAGGUGCUCCAAACGCAAUCCCAGUUCCCAAAUUCAGGCACAUCCGUGGUCAGCCAAGUGUCGCAGCUGACCCACAUUCCUGGGGAAAAAACGAGCCAACAAACUACUACCCAAAUGAAAUGUUUAUAAAAUGAAAUCAACAAAAAAUAAAUUACACAAAAUGGCAAAAAGAAAAUCCCAGCCUCGCCUCAACUGACUGACAGAAACGGUUCGUCGUCGUCGUCGAUGCCAAAAAAAGGAAACCAGUCGACAACUUUAUGAUGGGAACAAACCGAAACCGAAAUCACCAGCAAAAACAAAAAAAAUAUAAAAAAAACAAGACAACAAAAACGGUUUUGAAAAUCGAAAACUGCGUUGACGUCCGGUACAGGAGCAAUUAGGCAGCGGUCUUAUCAACGUCGCUCAGUUUCGUGAAUAAAUCUCAGCAGCCAAGUGUUGUAAUUCAUCCUGUUGGAUUAUGUGGACUGUCCCCUUGAGGAAUCCCUUUUUGCAAGCCCCUCAUCUUUCAGUUCGGGCUCAUUGGAGGCAACGCAUGCGCAAAUUGCUCGCCGACUGCUCUGGCAAUAAAUUCAUAAAAAAUCAUUAAGCUGAAUUUAAGCAUCCACAAGAUGCAAACUUCUUCGCGCAUGUGAGCAGGGAUUGGCAAAGGGAUUGGAACCGAGAUCGGAUUGGGAUCGCCAUUCUGGAUGGAAUGGGAUGGGCUGUAAGAGCUCUGUAAUAUCGAUGCCGGAGCAGUCGGGAUGUCGCAUUAAUUUCAAGCUUAAGCAAUCCACUGUUGGACAUCUCCCAAACCCCCAUAUCCCAUAUAAAUGGUAUCUGAAGCACAUGGAACACUCGUAAAUUUAAGUCAGCAGCAGAGGAACGAACCAUCCACUUGGUGGAAAAAACAAGGUGACUCGCGGGAUAAAGAUGUUAGACAAACCCAUAAACUAUAUUAAAAGUGUGCCAUUACGGCUUCUUGAUGUUAUGGCUUUAAAAUGUUGUCUAAAUUCAUUUUUAACAUGGCACAUUUAAAAAAAA
rnacentral:sRNA from 1 species